rnacentral:rRNA from 1 species
UACGAAGGGGGCUAGCGUUGUUCGGAAUCACUGGGCGUAAAGCGCACGUAGGCGGAUCGUUAAGUCAGAGGUGAAAUCCCGGAGCUCAACUUCGGAACUGCCUUUGAUACUGGCGAUCUCGAGUCUGGAAGAGGUUAGUGGAACUGCGAGUGUAGAGGUGAAAUUCGUAGAUAUUCGCAAGAACACCAGUGGCGAAGGCGGCUAACUGGUCCAGUACUGACGCUGAGGUGCGAAAGCGUGGGGAGCAAACAGG